rfam:Sus scrofa chromosome 17.
UCCCUGGUGGCCCAGUGGGUUAAGGAUCCAGCAAUGUUACUGCUGUGGUGCAGGUUCAAUCCCUGGCCUGGGAA